rnacentral:rRNA from 1 species
AGUGAACGCUGGCGGCAGGCCUAACACAUGCAAGUCGAACGGCAGCACAGUGGAGCUUGCUCCAUGGGUGGCGAGUGGCGGACGGGUGAGGAAUACAUCGGAAUCUGCCCAGUCGUGGGGGAUAACAUAGGGAAACUUAUGCUAAUACCGCAUACGACCUACGGGUGAAAGCGGGGGAUCGCAAGACCUCGCGCGAUUGGAUGAGCCGAUGUCCGAUUAGCUAGUUGGCGGGGUAUGGCCCACCAAGGCGACGAUCGGUAGCUGGUCUGAGGGGAUGAUCAGCCACACUGGAACUGAGACACGGUCCAGACUCCUACGGGAGGCAGCAGUGGGGAAUAUUGGACAAUGGGCGCAAGCCUGAUCCAGCCAUGCCGCGUGGGUGAAGAAGGCCUUCGGGUUGUAAAGCCCUUUUGUCCGGAAAGGAAAGCCCUGGGUUAACACCCUGGGGUGAUGACGGUACCGGAAGAAUAAGCACCGGCUAACUUCGUGCCAGCAGCCGCAGUAAAAC